rnacentral:rRNA from 1 species
UACAGAGGGGGCAAGCGUUAUUCGGAAUUACUGGGCGUAAAGGGCGCGUAGGCGGCAAUUCAAGUCAUCUGUGAAAUCUCCGGGCUUAACUCGGAACGGUCAAGUGAUACUGUCGUGCUAGAGUACAGAAGGGGCAACUGGAAUUCUCGGUGUAGCGGUGAAAUGCGUAGAUAUCAAGAGGAACACCUGAGGCGAAGGCGGGUUGCUAGGCUGACACUGACGCUGAAGCGCGAAAGCCAGGGGAGCAAACGGG